UGGUGCAUGGUUGUCGUCAGCUCGUGUCGUGAGAUGUUGGGUUAAGUCCCGCAACGAGCGCAACCCUUAUUGUUAGUUGCCAUCAUUUAGUUGGGCACUCUAGCAAGACUGCCGGUGACAAACCGGAGGAAGGUGGGGAUGACGUCAAAUCAUCAUGCCCCUUAUGACCUGGGCUACACACGUGCUACAAUGGGAAGUACAACGAGUCGCAAAGUCGCGAGGCUAAGCUAAUCUCUUAAAGCUUCUCUCAGUUCGGAUUGUAGGCUGCAACUCGCCUACAUGAAGCCGGAAUCGCUAGUAAUCGCGGAUCAGCACGCCGCGGUGAAUACGUUCCCGGGCCUUGUACACACCGCCCGUCACACCACGAGA
rnacentral:rRNA from 1 species